AGGAGUGUCAGCCAUGAACCUUACAGUGGGUGAGGAAGGAGCCUUUUUUUCUUCCCUACAACCUGAAAUCAUCAGUGAUGACCUCCACACUAGAACAUGCCACUCACCAAGGAGCUCCAUCCCUCUCCAGAAGAGAAGGAAACACAAGAAAAAGCGCCUGGUGCAGAGCCCAAAUUCCUACUUCAUGGAUGUGACGUGCCCAGGAUGCUGUAAAAUCACCAGUCUUUAGCCAGGCACGAAUGGUAGUUCUGUGCGUUGGCUGCUCCACUGUCCUCUGCCAGCCUACAGGAGGAAAAGCGAGGCUUACAGAGGAUGUUCCUUCAGGACAAAGCAGCACUAAAAGCAUCCUGACUCAAGAUGAGUGGGAAACCAGCCCAAUAAACACAUUUUGGAUAAAAA